GAACAAAGAAACAUUAAAAAGAGGAUUUUUUGUUAAAAAAAAAAAGAAAAGAAGAAGAAGAAGGAAAGAAAGAAAGAAAGAAGCAACACCAAAUAAUUCCUCAUCACUGCUUCGACCGAACCAAGACGGCGUGUUGUGUUGUGCCCUGUCCGCCCUGCCUCUCUCGGAGACCAACGAAAGGCCCAUUCCAUUGCAUCGCUCUGUUUCUUUCUUUCUCUUUCUUUCUCUCUCUUCGUGAAACACCAAACUAAAUUAUAACUCAAUCCCCUGUCAACCAAACAAAACCCCACUUCGAUCGAUCUGUUUUCUCCCUUCUCUGAAUAAUUUUCCCCUUUUGAUUUAUUGCCCUUUGCUCUAAUCGGAUUCAAUUCCAAGCAGAAGGGAAAACCCGGCAAUCGAUGGAUCUUGGGUUCGAUGUGAUUGUAGGACGGUUCUGGAGGUUCGGCCCGUGAUGGGAUUGAAAUCCGUUGGAUUGGAGGGUAGCAAGCACUUGCGCAGUGGAGAGAGGGUAAUGAGAAGAAGGGAAGGGAUACAAUGGAAGUGAAAUUGGGGAAACUCAAUCUUUCUCUGACUUGAAUUUGGCUCCUCUAUUUCUCUUUUUCUAUUAACUUUCUCUGUGGGUCAUGGAUGGGGUCGCACGUGCGGACAAGGCUCCGUCCACGGACUUGGCCUCGGAGUGGCGUCCCCGCGGUUCUGCGUUCGUCCCUUGUGUGCCAAAGGCUGGAGAAGAAGCUUCUGCUGCUGCUGCUGAGAAGCCGCAACCGUCUCGCGUGGUUUUGAGGAAGCCCUUGGUGGCUAGAUUGACCAAGGAAAUAGUUCAAACAUACCAAAUAUGCAAUCCACAGUUUAAAUAUUCUGAAGAUCUAAAUCCAAAAAGAUUUUUGACCAGCCCGUCAGUGGGAGUGCUUAAUGAUGGCUAUGAUAAUGUAAACUCAGAUCUUAUUUUGACAGUGAAUUUUGUCUUGAACCAUUUAGACAAAAAUAAAAGAUAUAUUGUCAAAGAUCUCCUUGGCCAUGGGACAUUUGGACAAGUGGCUAAAUGCUGGGAUUCAGAUACCAACAGUUUUGUUGCCGUGAAGAUCAUUAAAAACCAACCUGCAUACUAUCAACAAGCACUGGUUGAAGUAACUAUCUUAUCAACGUUAAAUAAGAAGUAUGAUCCUGAGGAUAAGCAUCACAUUGUUCGUAUAUAUGAUUAUUUUGUACAUCAACGACAUUUGUGCAUUUGCUUUGAGUUGUUGGACACAAACUUGUACGAGCUUAUCAAGAUGAAUCAUUUUAGGGGACUAUCCCUUGGUAUUGUUCAGCUAUUCUCUAAGCAGAUUUUAUGCGGACUUGCUCUGCUAAAAGAGGCUGGAGUUAUUCAUUGUGAUCUGAAGCCAGAAAACAUUCUUUUAUGUACGAGCACUGUGAAGCCAGCAGAAAUAAAAAUUAUUGACUUUGGAUCAGCAUGCAUGGAAAACCGCACUGUUUACUCUUACAUUCAGAGUCGAUACUAUAGAUCUCCUGAGGUUCUUCUUGGAUAUCAAUACACAACAGCUAUUGAUAUGUGGUCCUUUGGAUGCAUAGUGGCGGAAUUGUUUCUUGGAUUACCAUUAUUCCCUGGAGCUUCAGAAUUUGAUCUUUUGAAACGGAUGAUUGAAAUACUUGGAGGACAACCACCCGAUUAUCUACUUAGGGAUGCCAAAAACUCAAGUAAAUUCUUCAAGUGUGUUGGGAGUCUCCAGAACAUAGAGAGCAGUGAGAAUUCCAAAAAUGGAAGAAGUCUCUAUCAAGCAUUGACAGUGGAAGAAUAUGAAGCUAGAGAAUUGAAGAAGCCUGCAAUUGGAAAAGAGUAUUUUAAUCAUAUGAAUCUAGAGGCAAUUGUUACAAACUAUCCCUACCGAAAAAAUCUAGCUAAAGAAGAUAUUGUCAAAGAAAGUCAAAUACGACUGGCUCUUAUUGAUUUUUUGAAAGGGCUUGUUGAAUUGGAUCCUUCAAAGCGCUGGUCACCUGUUCAGGCUUCAAAACACCCUUUUGUAACUGGGGAACCUUUUACACAUCCUUACAUGCCUCCCCCUGAGACUCCUCAAAUGCCAGUAGUUCAGAAUAUCAAGGUGGAUAAUCAUCCAGGAGGAGGACACUGGUUUGCUGCCGGUCUAUCACCUAAUGUUCAGGGCAAAAGCAGAGCUUCACUCUAUAGCAGUCCACAUUUUCAGAUGGUUCAACAUCAGCCUGCUAAUAGUUAUGGGAGUGUAGGAAGCCAUGGGAGCUACAAUGAUAGUAUUGGGCUUGGAAGCAGCUACGGAAGUUAUGGAGAAAGCACUAACAUGUUUGCUUACUAUUCACCUAUUGGUCCAUCUGGUAUGAACAUGCACAAUCAGGGAGGUAUGUCAAUGCUUGGGAAUAGUCCUGAUGCUAGGAGAAGAGUUAAAUACCCGCCUGGGAAUGGAUUGGGCAUAAGCCCAUCAGCUGGAAAUUUUGCUCCCCUGCCCCUUGGUGCGAGCCCAUCUCAAUUUACUCCACCUAGUUCCUACAGUCAGGUUUCAGUUGUUUCUCCAGGACACUUUGGACCAACAUCUCCUGCAAGAGGAACUUCUCACGGAUCACCUUUAGGCAAGACGGCUGCAGUUAGCCAGUUUAAUAGAAGAAAAAAUUGGGGACAUUCUGGAAGUCCUCAAGCUCAAGAAACAACGUUUUCUUCACAUUGGCAAAGUCCAUAUCCUGACAGCACAAGCCAUACUGAGGGAACAACACAACCUCUCGGCAACUCACCAUCAUAUCUACAGUCAAAUUGUAUUCCUGUAAACCGGAAACAGCGAGGAAGUGGAGGAUUAUCUGCUAACCCCAACAUUUCGUGUUUGAUUAAGCCUGGUGCUAAUUUGAACUCACAAACAGAAUUGGUUCAUGACAAUGCUGAGACAGGCAUUUCAUUGCCUGAUCCUGGCGAUUGGGACCCUAAUUACAGUGAUGAAUUACUUCUUCAAGAGGAUGGUUCAGAUGAAAGCUGUUUGGCAAAUGAGUUUGGCAGAAGUAUUAAUCUUGGAUCUACUGAAACAUGGGCUGGAUUUGGAAGGUUCAACCAUGUAUCCAGCUCUAAUGCUCCAAUGACCAUGCAAAGACUAAAUGGACCAAAUCAAUCUUAUACUAACGUCGAGAUGGGUAGCCUUCCAACGCAUGAUCUUCAAGCAGCAUAUGUACCCUCUCUGUCUAAGCAGUUUCAUCUUAUGCCUCAUAUUUUACAUAAUUCUCCAAGCCGUUUCGGACACCAAUCUGUUCAAAGAUAUACACAUGGUAGACCCCCCCAGGGUGGUGAUUGGAAUCAAAUUAAAAUUCAGGCUCCUUCCGGUUUUGGCAGUGUGGGUCCUCGUUCUCCGAGGAGUAACUCAUUCACCAACAGUAUGACAUGGGGGCGCAGAAUGGAUCCUCAGGUAUCAAGCAUGCCUCCGACUUCCCGCACAAGAAAAGAUUAUGCAAGGAUAGACUAGCACUCCGAUUAAUGGUUCAGCUUGUUUUUAAUUUUUUUAUCUGGGGAGAGGGAAGUGGGGGAUCGUGGGUCAUGACAAGUGUAGUCUGUGUAGAAGCACAGGGAGAAAAGGGGAGGGGAGUGAAGGGGCUAAAGUGAGAAAAAAAGAAAAGAAAAAUAGGCCAGUACCCAAUGUGUGUGCAUGUGGAGAACCUGUAUUGUGAGAGGGAUGGUACGGUGGACAUCAUGGAGCAAGCAACAUGAAAGGUGGUGUGGACACUGAUAAGCAAUCAACUUCUGAUACCUAUCUGUAUCCGAUGUUCUGGAUACAUUUCAAAUAUUUACGAUGCUUUUUUAUAAUUUUUCAUUCUAAUGUUUAUUAAUGUGAUUUUAUUUUGGAUUUAUCCAAUUGUAAUUAUAUAUCUUUUUAUAUUUUGAGAACUUUUAUACAGUUUUCAACAGGGAUGCCUCGCAUGUUGUAUCUUGUU